GAACAUUCAGAAGGAUACGCAGUUCACUUGGAGUCUGUUCAAGUUCAGAUGUACACUGAUUGCUUAAUCGCAUUCAGUUUAAGGGAGGAUGUGAAUUCUCCUCCACAAUCAAUUCAUAAGGUUUUGAUUAACAAACCAGUUUCCUUCUCCACAGCAACUUUGAACUUCUUGAAAACAACCAAGGCUUCUGACUUUUCAGCUAAGAAAUAUAUACAAGUCUUCUUGCUAUAAUCAUCAAUAAAGGUAAUGUAAUACCUUUUGUUGCUGUUGGAAAUAGGAUUUAUAGGUCCACAAAUAUCCGAAUGAACAAGUUGUAAUACUAAUGAUGCUCUCCAAGUGCUUUCCUUUGGAAAAACUUCUCUGUGUUGUUUUCCCAUCAUGCAUUCUUCACAAACCCUAGUUGAAGGUUGCAACUGAGGUAGUCCUCCCACCAUGUUUUUUUGCUAUAAAGUCUUUAGGCCCUUGAAAUUCAGAUGUCCAUAUCUAAAAUGCCAUAACCAAGUAUCAUCUUGGAUAGUUGAUUUCAGACAGACUUGCUUGGUUAAUGCAGCUGGUGUUUGUAAUGGAAACAUUCUAUUAGAAGCCAUUUCAACAUGCACAAUUUAACCUUUGAUGAAUUUGGCAGCAAUUCUUUUGAAUUAGAAUGGGGAACCCCUUCUCUUGAAGCUGACCAAGGCUGAUCAGAUUACUUCUUAAUUCAGGCACAUAGAACACACAUGAUAUGAUUUGUACAGCACCAUUGACUUUAAUUUUGACAUAUCCUUUACCUUGUACUUUUAAGCUUGAAUCAUUACCAAGCUUUACAUUCUCCCUGAACUUCUCAUCAAGUUUGGUGAACAUCUUCUUGGUUCCACGUAUGU
rnacentral:lncRNA from 1 species